AACAGUUAAAUAAAAAUUAAGAUUAUUCAUUUCUUUUCUUUAUAAACUAAACUUUUUCGUUAUGACGACUUCUGAAAAUCCGCCUUAUUGUUUUAUAAAUAUCCAAGUAAAAAAAAACAGGUAAUUAACUAAAAUAUGAAUAAUAGAAAAAAAGUGAUAAUUUUCCUUCACUAGUUGAAAAAAUUUUCACGUGCCGGUAUGAAGAGGACAAAAAGAAUAAGAUGAAGGUUCACGAAAUGUAAACAAUAGGUAAACAUCUUAUUUAUUAUUUCGAUUCCAAGAAAUAAGCACUCAUUAUUAUUUAAAGUAAUAUUAAUAUCAGUGAUAAAUGGUGAAAUGAGGAUUAUGAUUUUCGUUGAGUUAUUUACAGGUAUUUAACAUCUCAUCAGUUCUGAAACACUGAAAUAUCUCCAAUGGACACAGUUAAGCGAAGGACAUCGUCUGUAAAUAUAGUAAUGGCAUAGAAAAUGAUCUGGAGGAAUAGAAAUAGUUUUAUUCGAGCUAACCAAGCAAAGCGAAAAACUAAAUCUUGUAAAGACAUUAUUCGCGUAUUAAAAUUAUUUUUCUGAGUUGAUUACUAGACAUAAUAUAAUGUAAUAUUUUACAGAGUACGUUUGAGCCAACGAUGCUUCUAUCAAAGAACUAACAAGACAACAAGAUCCGAGAUACUAUAUGAAGCUGUAACUUUUUUACUAA